UACGAAGGGGGCUAGCGUUGCUCGGAAUCACUGGGCGUAAAGCGCACGUAGGCGGAUUGUUAAGUCAGGGGUGAAAUCCUGGAGCUCAACUCCAGAACUGCCUUUGAUACUGGCGAUCUCGAGUCCGGGAGAGGUGAGUGGAACUGCGAGUGUAGAGGUGAAAUUCGUAGAUAUUCGCAAGAACACCAGCGGCGAAGGCGGCUCACUGGCCCGGUACUGACGCUGAGGUGCGAAAGCGUGGGGAGCAAACAGG
rnacentral:rRNA from 1 species